rnacentral:rRNA from 1 species
UCAAGUGAAGAAGCGCAUACGGUGGAUGCCUUGGCAGUCAGAGGCGAUGAAAGACGUGGUAGCCUGCGAAAAGCUUCGGGGAGUCGGCAAACAGACUUUGAUCCGGAGAUGUCUGAAUGGGGGAACCCAGCCAUCAUAAGAUGGUUAUCUUGUACUGAAUACAUAGGUGCAAGAGGCGAACCAGGGGAACUGAAACAUCUAAGUACCCUGAGGAAAAGAAAUCAACCGAGAUUCCCUUAGUAGUGGCGAGCGAACGGGGACUAGCCCUUAAGUGGCUUUGAGAUUAGCGGAACGCUCUGGAAAGUGCGGCCAUAGUGGGUGAUAGCCCUGUACGCGAAAAUCUCUUAGUCAUGAAAUCGAGUAGGACGGAGCACGAGAAACUUUGUCUGAAUAUGGGGGGACCAUCCUCCAAGGCUAAAUACUACUGACUGACCGAUAGUGAACUAGUACCGUGAGGGAAAGGCGAAAAGAACCCCGGAGAGGGGAGUGAAAUAGAUCCUGAAACCGUAUGCGUACAAGCAGUGGGAGCCCACUUUGUUGGGUGACUGCGUACCUUUUGUAUAAUGGGUCAGCGACUUAUUUUCAGUGGCGAGCUUAACCGAAUAGGGGAGGCGUAGCGAAAGCGAGUCUUAAUAGGGCGUCUAGUCGCUGGGAAUAGACCCGAAACCGGGCGAUCUAUCCAUGGGCAGGUUGAAGGUUGGGUAACACUAACUGGAGGACCGAACCGACUACCUUUGAAAAGUUAGCGGAUGACCUGUGGAUCGGAGUGAAAGGCUAAUCAAGCUCGGAGAUAGCUGGUUCUCCUCGAAAGCUAUUUAGGUAGCGCCUCAUGUAUCACUGUAGGGGGUAGAGCACUGUUUCGGCUAGGGGGUCAUCCCGACUUACCAAACCGAUGCAAACUCCGAAUACCUACAAGUGCCGAGCAUGGGAGACACACGGCGGGUGCUAACGUCCGUCGUGAAAAGGGAAACAACCCAGACCGUCAGCUAAGGUCCCAAAGUUAUGGUUAAGUGGGAAACGAUGUGGGAAGGCUUAGACAGCUAGGAGGUUGGCUUAGAAGCAGCCACCCUUUAAAGAAAGCGUAAUAGCUCACUAGUCGAGUCGGCCUGCGCGGAAGAUGUAACGGGGCUCAAACCAUACACCGAAGCUACGGGUAUCACGUAAGUGAUGCGGUAGAGGAGCGUUCUGUAAGCCUGUGAAGGUGAGUUGAGAAGCUUGCUGGAGGUAUCAGAAGUGCGAAUGCUGACAUGAGUAACGACAAUGGGUGUGAAAAACACCCACGCCGAAAGACCAAGGUUUCCUGCGCAACGUUAAUCGACGCAGGGUUAGUCGGUCCCUAAGGCGAGGCUGAAAAGCGUAGUCGAUGGAAAACAGGUUAAUAUUCCUGUACUUCUGGUUAUUGCGAUGGAGGGACGGAGAAGGCUAGGCCAGCUUGGCGUUGGUUGUCCAAGUUUAAGGUGGUAGGCUGGAAUCUUAGGUAAAUCCGGGAUUCUAAGGCCGAGAGCUGAUGACGAGUUAUCUUUUAGGUAACGAAGUGGUUGAUGCCAUGCUUCCAAGAAAAGCUUCUAAGCUUCAGGUAACCAGGAACCGUACCCCAAACCGACACAGGUGGUUGGGUAGAGAAUACCAAGGCGCUUGAGAGAACUCGGGUGAAGGAACUAGGCAAAAUGGCACCGUAACUUCGGGAGAAGGUGCGCCGGUGAGGGUGAAGGACUUGCUCCGUAAGCUCAUGCCGGUCGAAGAUACCAGGCCGCUGCGACUGUUUAUUAAAAACACAGCACUCUGCAAACACGAAAGUGGACGUAUAGGGUGUGACGCCUGCCCGGUGCCGGAAGGUUAAUUGAUGGGGUUAGCUAACGCGAAGCUCUUGAUCGAAGCCCCGGUAAACGGCGGCCGUAACAAUAACGGUCCUAAGGUAGCGAAAUUCCUUGUCGGGUAAGUUCCGACCUGCACGAAUGGCGUAACGAUGGCCACACUGUCUCCAGCAGAGACUCAGUGAAAUCGAAAUCGCGGUGAAGAUGCCGUGUACCCGUGGCUAGACGGAAAGACCCCGUGAACCUUUACUGCAGCUUGACAUUGAACUUUGACCUUACUUGUGUAGGAUAGGUGGGAGGCUAUGAAGAUCGGACGCCAGUUCGAUUGGAGCCAUCCUUGAAAUACCACCCUGGUAAUGUUGAGGUUCUAACUCUGUCCCGUAAUCCGGGACGAGGACCAUGUCUGGUGGGUAGUUUGACUGGGGCGGUCUCCUCCUAAAGAGUAACGGAGGAGUACGAAGGUGCGCUCAGCGUGGUCGGAAAUCACGCGUAGAGUAUAAAGGCAAAAGCGCGCUUAACUGCGAGACCCACAAGUCGAGCAGGUACGAAAGUAGGUCUUAGUGAUCCGGUGGUUCUGUAUGGAAGGGCCAUCGCUCAACGGAUAAAAGGUACUCUGGGGAUAACAGGCUGAUUCCUCCCAAGAGUUCAUAUCGACGGGGGAGUUUGGCACCUCGAUGUCGGCUCAUCACAUCCUGGGGCUGUAGCCGGUCCCAAGGGUAUGGCUGUUCGCCAUUUAAAGUGGUACGUGAGCUGGGUUUAAAACGUCGUGAGACAGUUUGGUCCCUAUCUGCCGUGGGCGUUGGAAAUUUGAAGGGGGCUGCUCCUAGUACGAGAGGACCGGAGUGGACAGACCUCUGGUGUACCGGUUGUCACGCCAGUGGCAUUGCCGGGUAGCUAAGUUCGGAAGAGAUAACCGCUGAAAGCAUCUAAGCGGGAAACUUGCCUUAAGAUGAGAUUUCCCAGAGCCUUGAGCUCUUUGAAGGGUCGUUCGAGACCAGGACGUUGAUAGGUCAGGUGUGGAAGCGCAGUAAUGCGU